rnacentral:rRNA from 1 species
CCUACGGGAGGCUGCCGUGGGGAAUAUUGGACAAUGGGGGCAACCCUGAUCCAGCCAUGCCGCGUGUGUGAAGAAGGCCCUCGGGUUGUAAAGCACUUUCAGUGAGGAAGAACGCCUGGUGGUUAAUACCCAUCAGGAAAGACAUCACUCACAGAAGAAGCACCGGCUAACUCCGUGCCAGCAGCCGCGGUAAUACGGAGGGUGCGAGCGUUAAUCGGAAUUACUGGGCGUAAAGCGCGCGUAGGUGGCUUGAUAAGCCGGUUGUGAAAGCCCCGGGCUCAACCUGGGAACGGCAUCCGGAACUGUCAAGCUAGAGUGCAGGAGAGGAAGGUAGAAUUCCCGGUGUAGCGGUGAAAUGCGUAGAGAUCGGGAGGAAUACCAGUGGCGAAGGCGGCCUUCUGGACUGACACUGACACUGAGGUGCGAAAGCGUGGGUAGCAAACAGGAUUAGAUACCCGUGUAGUC